UACUGAUGAUCCGCGCCGCGAUA
rnacentral:sRNA from 1 species